rnacentral:lncRNA from 1 species
CCAAGAAGUUCCAAAAAUCAUAAUUAGAGUCAAAAAUAAAUUUGUUUAACUCUAAUGGGCACUGGUACAAAACUGAGGGGAAGAGUGUUCAGCUCAGGCACUUUGCAUCAGAAUAUUAAGUUGGAGUCACGGCGAGAGAUCUAUACCGGUUUGGGUCUUUUUAGACCUCAUCAGCAGAUCACACUCGGCAGUGAACCUAACUUAACAUGCUGCAAAAUCCAAGACGGCAUGAAAACUCCGUCAUGAGUAUGACCCACGGCAUGACACAAAAGUGUGAUCCUCGCGCCAUCUACCGUCGCUGCUGAACUCUCAUAACAAAAAAAGGAAAACCCGUGAAAAUGAUUAUCUGGGUGGUUGAAGAUGCGAAUGCAUCCAGACUCAAUUUCACCUCUGUUACAUACAGUUAGACACUUCUUAGUGUUUUUUUUAUCAUUUAACCAGUCAUUGCACCAUGUCAUGCAAGAAAGCUAAUCUAGACCUCUUCUUUUCUCAGAGCUGCCUGGUCAUGUGUGCAAGGAAGAAACAGAGUUUGCAUGUCACAUAUUUUCAGUAUUGCUCAAUGGCGUCGCAGCUGUUGUUGAAAAGAAAAGCUCUUCGCGUUCUUCCAGCAACUGGAACAUGGUCAUGUGGCGGUCACGUGAUAUUUUAAGGAAUCAAGCUGCAACGCUUUUUUUGUGUGGUUGCUUGCACCGUUCCAGAGUGAUAAAACACGCAUGUUUGCAAUUAACACCAUUUCAAAUGAAGCUCAAGUCAAGGAUAUCCUCUUUAGCCUCCUUCUCACCAAUACUCAGAUCGAACAAAAGUUCAUUCUAUUCCUGUGGGACCUGAUGUAUAAUGGCUCGAGCCUCCUCCCCAACAGAAAUGGAGGUCUGCGAAGAGCUCAAGGAGCAAAUGCUCACAUGGGACAUCGUUUCAGCACAAGCAUUUGGUCAUGCCCACGACAGAUGGCAGAAGGACGUCGCACUAGCCGUCAAAGAUUUCGACAUGGCCAAGUUGGAAUGGGAGAAGUCAGUGGAGCCUUCUAUUACGAAGUAAGUAUCAUACAGGGUUAUUCAAAAGUCACGCACCACUGGCCAUGAGGUGGGUAGCCAUUUGAAAUUUUUGAGUUGCACCCCGCCCCCCCUCCACCUGAGGGGAUCUAAAACUGGAAAGUACCUAAAAAAGUUUCCCUCUCAAUGUGAGGAAAAACGUCACAAACCGCAAAUCGAAAUCUUAAUUAGAACUAAAGUUAUGGCCACUGGUGUGUGACUUUUGAAUAACCUGUAUCUUUUGAAAAACUGCUAGAAUUAGCCCCAAGUUAACAGACCAGCAGGCUGAUUAUUGAAAUGUGUUGACAAAGCAACAGACAAAGAAGAAAGGAGAAAAGAAAGCAGUGAAAAUGGAGGAAUCCUAUCGGUUGAAGAGCGCUUGCAAUGAACAAAUGAUGGACCAACUUCAGGGUCUCUUGUCCGUCGCUGUUAGUUAGUCUAUUACUUACCGUUUUUGUCCUUUGCAAUCACCUGCUUGCUUACGUA